rnacentral:rRNA from 1 species
GGCCUUGACAUACUAAGAACUUUCCAGAGAUGGAUUGGUGCCUUCGGGAACUUAGAUACAGGUGCUGCAUGGCUGUCGUCAGCUCGUGUCGUGAGAUGUUGGGUUAAGUCCGCAACGAGCGCAACCCUUUUCCUUAUUUGCCAGCGGGUAAUGCCGGGAACUUUAAGGAUACUGCCAGUGACAAACUGGAGGAAGGCGGGGACGACGUCAAGUCAUCAUGGCCCUUACGGCCAGGGCUACACACGUGCUACAAUGGUCGGUACAAAGGGUUGCUACCUCGCGAGAGGAUGCUAAUCUCAAAAAGCCGAUCGUAGUCCGGAUCGCAGUCUGCAACUCGACUGCGUGAAGUCGGAAUCGCUAGUAAUCGCGGAUCAGAAUGCCGCGGUCGAAUACGUUCCCGGGCCUUGUACACACCGCCCGUCACACCAUGGGAGUUUGUUGCACCAGAAGUAGGUAGUCUAACCACAAGGAGGACGCUUACCACGGUGUGGCCGAUGACUGGGGUGAAGUCGUAACAAGGUAGGCGUAGAUGA